rnacentral:rRNA from 1 species
UCCUACGGGGCGCAGCAGUGGGGAAUAUUGCACAAUGGGGGAAACCCUGAUGCAGCGACGCCGCGUGAGUGAGGAAGUAUUUAGGUAUGUAAAGCUCUAUCAGCAGGGAAGAAAAUGUCGGUACCUGACUAAGAAGCCCCGGCUAACUACGUGCCAGCAGCCGCGGUAAUACGUAGGGGGCAAGCGUUAUCCGGAUUUACUGGGUGUAAAGGGAGCGUAGACGGAUAAGCAAGUCUGAUGUGAAAAUCCGGGGCCCAACCCCGGAAUUGCAUUGGAAACUGCAUAUCUAGAGUGUCGGAGAGGCA